GACGAACGCUGGCGGCGUGCCUAAUACAUGCAAGUCGAGCGGACUUGAUGAGAAGCUUGCUUCUCUGAGAGUUAGCGGCGGACGGGUGAGUAACACGUAGGCAACCUGCCUGUAAGAUCGGGAUAACUACCGGAAACGGUAGCUAAGACCGGAUAAUCGAUUUCUCCGCAUGGGGAGAUCGUGAAACACGGAGCAAUCUGUGGCUUACGGAUGGGCCUGCGGCGCAUUAGCUAGUUGGUGAGGUAACGGCUCACCAAGGCGACGAUGCGUAGCCGACCUGAGAGGGUGAACGGCCACACUGGGACUGAGACACGGCCCAGACUCCUACGGGAGGCAGCAGUAGGGAAUCUUCCGCAAUGGACGCAAGUCUGACGGAGCAACGCCGCGUGAGUGAUGAAGGUUUUCGGAUCGUAAAGCUCUGUUGCCAGGGAAGAACGCCAAGGAGAGUAACUGCUCUUUGGGUGACGGUACCUGAGAAGAAAGCCCCGGCUAACUACGUGCCAGCAGCCGCAGUAAUAC
rnacentral:rRNA from 1 species